rnacentral:rRNA from 1 species
GAUGAACGCUGGCGGCGUGCCUAAUACAUGCAAGUCGAGCGAACGGACGAGAAGCUUGCUUCUCUGCUGUUAGCGGCGGACGGGUGAGUAACACGUGGAUAACCUACCUAUAAGACUGGGAUAACUUCGUGAAACCGUAGCUAAUAACAGAUCAUAUUUUGAACCGCAUGGUUCAAAAGUUCAAGACGGUCUUCCUGUCACUUAUAGAUGGAUCCGCGCUGCAUUAGCUAGUUGGUAAGGUAACGGCUUACCAAGGCGACGAUGCAUAGCCGACCUGAGAGGGUGAUCGGCCACACUGGAACUGAGACACGGUCCAGACUCCUACGGGAGGCAGCAGUAGGGAAUCUUGCGCAAUGGGCGAAAGCCUGACGGAGCAACGCCGCGUGAGUGAUGAAGGUCUUCGGAUCGUAAAACUCUGUUAUUAGGGAAGAACAGAUGUGUAAGUAUCUGUGCACAUCUUGACGGUACCUAAUCAGAAAGCCACGGCUAACUACGUG